AGAGUUUGAUUCUGGCUCAGGAUGAACGCUAGCUACAGGCUUAACACAUGCAAGUCGAGGGGCAGCAGGACGAUAGCUUGCUAUUGUCGCUGGCGACCGGCGCACGGGUGAGUAACGCGUAUCCAACCUUCCCCAUGGUAGGGGAUAGCCCGGCGAAAGUCGGAUUUAAUACCCUAUGUUCUUCAAUGCGGACAUCUAAGUUGAAGCAAAGGUUCACCGCUAUGGGAUGGGGAUGCGUCUGAUUAGGUUGUUGGCGGGGUAACGGCCCACCAAGCCGACGAUCAGUAGGGGUUCUGAGAGGAAGGUCCCCCACAUUGGUACUGAGACACGGACCAAACUCCUACGGGAGGCAGCAGUGAGGAAUAUUGGUCAAUGGGCGUAAGCCUGAACCAGCCAAGUAGCGUGCAAGGAUGACUGCCCUAUGGGUUGUAAACUGCUUUUAUGCGGGAAUAAAGUGGCGUACGUGUACGCUUUUGUAUGUACCGCAUGAAUAAGGACCGGCUAAUUCCGUGCCAGCAGCGGC
rnacentral:rRNA from 1 species